AUUGAACGCUGGCGGCAUGCCUUACACAUGCAAGUCGAACGGCAGCACGGGUGCUUGCACCUGGUGGCGAGUGGCGAACGGGUGAGUAAUACAUCGGAACAUGUCCUGUAGUGGGGGAUAGCCCGGCGAAAGCCGGAUUAAUAUCGCAUACGAUCUACGGAUGAAAGCGGGGGACCUUCGGGCCUCGCGCUAUAGGGUUGGCCGAUGGCUGAUUAGCUAGUUGGUGGGGUAAAGGCCUACCAAGGCGACGAUCAGUAGCUGGUCUGAGAGGACGACCAGCCACACUGGGACUGAGACACGGCCCAGACUCCUACGGGAGGCAGCAGUGGGGAAUUUUGGACAAUGGGCGAAAGCCUGAUCCAGCAAUGCCGCGUGUGUGAAGAAGGCCUUCGGGUUGUAAAGCACUUUUGUCCGGAAAGAAAUCCUUGGCCCUAAUACGGUCGGGGGAUGACGGUACCGGAAGAAUAAGCACCGGCUAACUACGUG
rnacentral:rRNA from 1 species